GGGGCCUUAAUGGUUUCGACGUGUUGGCGAAAGCCGCCCCGUGAUUCAGGUCGAGAGUGAGUCUUCUCUCGUUAAUACCGGACUCAAAAAAAAGUAAAUGCGAACAACAUCGUUCCUUUCGCUCGUAAGGCUGCUCCUGUAGCUGCUUAAUAACCUCUAAUUGGUUCGAGCGUCUAUAGUUUGACUCCGUUAAGGACUAUAGACCAACCCCAACGGAUGCUCUCUUUAGUUGCCUUUGGUCGGUUAAAGAGAAAAGACUUCACCAAAGAAUCCUGUCAUCCGGGACAAUGGAUGGUUCCCGCCCUGAGGGUCAGAUGGGCUAAGCAUGUGAAUGAGCGGUAGGUCAAUACCCAAGGCGGACACGGGUUCAAUUC
rnacentral:tmRNA from 1 species